CAGUUUAAUUUGAUUAUUUAAAGUCUUACUUUUUAAUUUGAUUGUUUUAAGGAUUUAUUGGAGAAAUAUCUUUAUUUUUAGUAUAUUUAAGGAACAAAAAGUUUAUUGUUAUAGCUUAUUAGUACCGUGAGGGAAUUGUUGAAAUAUUUUGAAAAUAAUAAUUUUUAUAAGUAGAUUUUAUUUGUUGUACCUUUUGUAUCAGGGUUGAUUAAAUAUAUUUAAUCUAUUUUAUUGUCUCGAUUCCAAAAGAGCUAGUUUUGAAUUUUACUUGUUGUUUUAUAACCAUUCUUAAUUCAAUUUUAGAAGAGAAAUUUUAUUCGAUUUUGGAGGUAUCUAGUUUUUUAAGAAUUAAAUUUAAUUUAGAUCUGGGUGUUAAAUGUUUUAUUUAUUAAUUAUUUAUUAACUAGGAUUAAAAUAUUAGGGGAUAAGCUCUAAUUUUAAUACUAAAAAGUUGAUUUUUUGUUUGAUUUAUGUAGGCUUUAAAACAGCUAUCAUUUAUGGAGUUCGUUGUAGUUAAAAUUGAAUUAAUUAGAUUUUCUUUAUUUUUAGUUUUAUUAUUAAAAUAUUACUUUUAACGGUAAAAAGUUUGUAAUAAUGAUUGAAUUAGUAUAUUUAUAUUGUAUACAAAUUAUCUUUUUGUAUAAUUAAAUAAGGAAUUCGGCAAAUAUAACGCUCGCCUGUUAAUCAAAAACAUGUCCUCUUGUUUAUAUAUGAGGUCAGACCUGCCCGGUGAAUUUUAUUUUAACGGCCGCGGUAUUUUGACCGUGCAAAGGUAGCAUAAUCAUUAGUCUUUUAAUAGGAGGCUGGAAUGAAGGGUUUGACGAGGUGUUGACUGUCUCAUUUAAUUUGAAAUUAAAAUUUAACUUUUCAGUUAAAAGGCUGAAAUUAUAUUGGAAGACGAGAAGACCCUAUAGAGCUUUAUAGUUAUAGUGUUAAUUAAUUAUUGUUUAAUUAUUGUUUUUUAUAAUUAUACCUAUUUUGUUGGGGUGACAAAAAUAUAAAAGUAACUUUUUUAUUUAGUGUUCAUUGAUUUAUGAGCUUUAGAUCCAAUUUUAUUGAUUGUUAGAAUAAGUUACCUUAGGGAUAACAGCGUAAUCUUCCUUCAGAGUUCAUAUUUACAGGAAGGAUUGCGACCUCGAUGUUGGAUUAAGAUAAUAAUUAGGUGUAGCCGCUUAAUUGAUAGGUCUGUUCGACCUUUAAAUUCUUACAUGAUCUGAGUUCAAACCGGUUUAAGCCAGGUUGGUUUCUAUCUCCAAUUUUUAAUUAGUUUUUAGUACGAAAGGACCCAAACUAUAAAAAAUUUUUUUAAUAUUGAAUG
rnacentral:rRNA from 1 species